UUAUCCGGUCUAUGUAAGUGGUUUGGUAACAGCUGAGCAUCUUCCAUAACAGCCUGGGAAAUCACACUGGACAGCGAAGAAGCAGCGAUAUUCGUAAAAGAUUGUCUCAUCCGGAGAUACAAACAGUAAUCAAACAUGGUCUGACUGUUGAUAAAAGCCAGCAUCUACGUGGUCAGGAGGAUCCGGGCUUCCAUCGCUGAGGGAGAGAAACUGGAGACUCCUAUUAUAACACCAUGUAGUGCUAUGGCUGAAAAGAGAAGGGGGAUUGAACAUGAAUCAGGAGGUCACCCACCGGCGGCUGCAGUGAUGUCACCACCUGCUGACGGUGUUGGUGAAGCGUCAGGGUCUUCCUCACAGACAGCUGUACAGAAAUGUGGAUCCUGACGUUAAACAGUACACUGGACUUUGGGACUUUUCAUGGACAAUAUAUAUCAAAUUACAAUAAUAACAAGCGUAUAUUAUACAACAUUAGCACAUAUGUAAUAGUCAUCAUGUUCUUUAAGUACUGCACCAACAGUCAAAAAAGUGUAAUAAUAUCAGACCGCACCUCAGUCCAGGGUCCAUGUGCUUGGCGACCAGUGUCUACCUCCUAAUGAAACACAUACAGGCCUUUUUAACAGUAGAAAAGAUAUACUAUAAUUGUAUUCACAGCCUGGCCAUGAAAAAAAA